UAUGCUACCAGAGAAACAAAUGAAAAUAGUAUAAUAUAUUUUUUCCAUCAUAGAUACCAAAAUCGACUUGCAUAGGAGACAUUGAUUGAAAUAUAGUUCAGAAUUUCAAAAUGUUCAUGACAUUUUAAACAAAGCUCCACCGACCACAAAAUUCAAUAAUGUAGUAAAUAUUUUAUUUCAAAAGAAAAUGACAAAUUAUAAUGAACACACCUUUAUUUCACCAUUGAGAAGGCAUGGCUGUACAUGAACGACACGUGUUAUUUUAAAUAGAUGGAAUAGUUGAGAGGCAUAUAGCUUACACAUUCAGGGGGGGGUAGACAGAAUACGCUUGCUUCAGCAUCAAAUGUCGGCGGCGAUCAAAGACGUGAACAUGUUCAGCCAUAUAAAAAUAAAAAGAAAAAUCAAAUCCUAAAAAACAUUCAAGGCUUGUACUGGCACAAAAAUCAAAAACAAUCCAGCGCAGACAGGGGAUUUCUUUGGAGUUUGACGAAGAAAUUAGCCUCUGCUUAAGCUCCAUGAGAGAUGUUUGUGUGAAAUAAAUCAAAAAUACUGAGAUGAUCAACAAUAAAAACAGAAUUCAAGUGCACAUGACAAACAUCAUUGGCGGAAGAUAUAUGCUUUGUUGUUUGGUGUGUGUGUUUUUUUAAUAAGAAAGCUUCUUGAGGCCUAUGUACAGUAUAAGUACAGGGUGGUCAUACAGGACUGCAGUGGUAUAUCUUGGUGUGGAGUUGAGUGGUGAGAUGCUUGCUGAAGAUGAGGUUGGCACGUCUACCUACCGCUAGGCUACAUAGGGGUGUCCUCUACAUACACAGCCCAUACAAAGCACUGGGAAGCUUUCCGGAGUGGAUUUUGGCUUCAUUUCAUAAAUAAAACUGCUGCAAUUAUUAUUCUUCAUCUUAAUCAUAAAAAAUGCAUCAAUUUCAUAAAGGCAGUAAAGAGAGAGGGGGGGGGGAGGGGUCACCUUUUGGCUUCCCUGCACAAGAAUAAGUAUUCUGCGAGUCAACAAGAGAUUUGUUAUAUAGUGUCGUUGUAUCGUCUUGCUGUUUAUUUUUGAUACUGCAACGUUGCACCCUUCUCAUGCACAAAUGCACCAUUUUGAGAUGGACAGAAAUGGAGGCAAGCCGCAGUCGCUGGAGAGCCAUCAGUUCCUUUAGUGUUCCCUCCUUACAUAUACGGAACCCAUGGUGGCUGAUGGGGGAUGGAGUCCUCGUGGGAAAACAUCCUUAUUCCUACGAGAGGGAACACACACACACACACACACACACACACACACACACACACACACACACACACACACACACACACACACACACACACACACACACACACACACACACACACACACGAUAUUAGGCGCUAUGUUGCAAGAGUUGCCGUUAUCAUGGUCACACUUUGCGUCAUUGAGCAAAAAGUAAUUCCUGUGUCCGAGGGCGAUCAUGAAUGAGUGAGAAGAAUGCUGCACUUAUGCUCUGCCAAUGUGAUUUCAUAGCAAUGGUUUGGACCAAGAAUAAUCCACCACUGUAGAUUAUUCUUAUUUAAUUUUUUAAGCAUGAGCGGUGUUACACUGAAAUUCUUUUAGCUCAAUAGAAGAAGUGUACAACCGCUAUACUUGCGACUGUAAUUUCUAGAGUGUCUUGAAAACACGACAGCAAGCGACAAGACGGACACUAAGGGGAGAGAGUUUCCCUCCCAUGGAGACAUCAUAGGGCUAGGAGGCAAGGAGAUAACGAAAAGAGAAGGGAAGCUACACAAGGGCAGUUUGACAGACGAGCUGGCAGCAUCUGGUAGCAUCUUUGUUCCUGAUCUCAGCCUGCAUUCCUGCUCAUUCAAAGCCUUUCUCCUCCGCUGACAGCUGUGACAACCAAAUAUUUAAUUGGCCGCCUAGCCAGCAUCACGACGAGGCAUGUUUAAAAUAGUCGUCAAUGAGUACUCUACAUUUGCAAUUGGCAGGAAUAUGGCAAUGGCAUUUUUUUCAGUUAAUUCAUUCGUGCCUUCGUCGUUGUACAUUUUUUGAAAUGUACCGACUGUUUUUAUUACUGAUUUGUCUAGCUUUUUAUUUUAUAUUUAAGUUCAGACAGGAUGCUGCGGCCCCUCUAACCCCUCCUGAAGGGAAAGAAGAAAGACACACACACACACACACACACACACACACACACACACACACAGAGGAGUGCGAGUAAGGUGCAUAUAUUAGAUGGCACGCACGUCAGAGGGAGCAGGAGAGGUGGGAGGGGCGGGCCGGUGUGUGUGUGUGUGUGUUAGUCCGUGGAAACAAAGCCGACCAUUCCCAUCUGGUGAGUCACGCGAGUGCGCACAGGCACGUAAACACACAUGCAGGCACGUACACGCAUGCACACGCAUUAUGCACACACGCUCACACCGCCACCUGUUCCUUCACUACAACCCUGAACCAUGGGCCUACUUCCCAUCAGACGUGAAAUCACAGGAGUCACAGGGGUACGAGUUAACGCAGAUUGCGAUCGAGGGGAGACACAAACGCACGCAAGCGCCCCGCGUCGGAAUUCCGCAGAGAAGAAAGUUGAAAAUGAGAAGGAAAAAAGAAGGAUUAGAAGGUUAGAAUGUAAACAAAAGAAGGGAGCGGGAGAUUGCAUUGCGCGGCUCUGUGCCAGACCUGAAUCCGACAAUACAGACAAACAGGCAAGUUGAAACACAAGCCCCGACGUGCACAAAGCUGCCGCAAAUGCUGGAAGAAAACAACAAUCCGAUCUGUUUUAUGGACCUAAGGUGGUUUGUUCACCAAACGGAGGGUUGAAAUGUAUCUGCACAUAACAGCCUUUAAAAAAUAGUUAGAUAUACACAUCUUUUUGUAGCAUUGUUCCCAGCCAAGCUUUUAGUUAAAGCGAAGCAAUAAAGGAUGGGAUGUUUUCCAGCAGCGGUGCAGAGGUGUGUGCACGGCGCUGAGGUGCGUGUGCACGACGCAGAUGCGAGCGUGCACGGAGCUGAUGCAUGAGGGGGCGAGGAGGUUUUUGUGGGACCACGAGAACUGUACGAGGUGCAUUCCACUGGAAAUGGUCUGAGCCAAUGGUAUUUUGAUAUGAUAUAACAAGAAAUGUCAUGUGAGCACACUAUAGCCUCAAGCCAUAUUAUAAUGCCAUUAAUAUUGGCGCAAGCAGUCUGCAAUUUCUAGCCUUUCCAUCGUCUAGGUCAGAGGUAUUCAACGUUUUCCAGGCCAAGGACCCCCAAACUGAUGGAGAGAUGGAGCGGGGACCCCCUACUUAUAUAUUGUACCAAAUUGUGUUUUAGAUUAAACUGGGCCUAUAGUGCCAUGUAUCUUAGUACCUUGUUAUUUUGCAUUCAAUACUAAGAUAUUCAAAUAAUUCACAGGUUCAUAUAUUCAUGUUUUCAUUUUAAACAUGUGCAAGGUACAGUCAGUAGGGUGGCCAUGCCACUGCCAUUCAUAAACAUAACAUAACAUAACAAACUGAUACCUUCCAAGAUCAACAAUGUCUGUCAAUUGCAUGUAAUCAUGCAUAAAAGCAAUUCAAAUGGACAUUUCUAGUUUCUUUCUUACCACUCCGAGAGUAGUCCGGUAACUUAUCACCCCCAGCGUGUCCGGUUGCUAAGCGACGUCAACGUCUUUGGCGGACUAUUUCUGCUGAUCGCUUAUUUUCCCGAUAAAUGACAUUUCAAUUUGUGGAAAAAAUUGCUGGGGGAAUAUAAAAAAAUGUCUAAUCAACCAAAACUUUUGCGGACACCCCCCCCUGCAGUACCUCCGCGGAGCCCCUAGGGGUAUCGAACUCCCUGUUCAAGACCUCUGGUCUAGGUUCAAUAAUACUGUUGCUUCUGUUCCACCGCAUCAAAUAUGCAGGCUACCAUCUAUGAUUAAGUCUCUUUGUUUUUUUCUCUUUAUGCUAUCUACCUUUAGUCUAACAUUUUAUGGGCUAAUGCCGCCUACAGUAUUAUUAUGGGCUUUUAAUCUUCAAUAGCAGAACACUCAGGGUAUUUCACUCAGGGUAUUUUCCACAAUAUUUCUACAAUGAAAAUAAUGACAAUUUAACCCUUGAGGGGAAUGGAGAAUUAUAUGUAAUAAAAAAAUAAUGCAUUUAGGGUGCCAAACAUAAUUCUGAAUAAAUAAUAAAUGGUCUAAUAAAUGACUGCAGUGGCGCUGGUCUUCCAGUGGUGGCGCUGCACCACUGCUGGAUGCAUGGAGGAGGAACACUGGUUAUAUGUUGAAUCACCUUGCCGAUAGCUUCUCUAAAGACACGUGUUUGCACUCAGGGCAGAGCCUUGACUGACGGCAAACCCCUCCACCAUAUGCCUCCAAUGAUUAAUGCCUUUAUGGUAAAGUCUGGAGUUGAAAACACACUUUUACACAGUCUGAGGCAUAUUUCGGUCUUGUCAGCGCAGUUAUCGGAUCAGAUUACACGAGAUACAGAUGACAGUGCAGAUCGUCAGCCUGGAGGUGCAUUAAGGAGCAGAGCAGGUUGGCUCUCUC
ensembl:lncRNA